rnacentral:rRNA from 1 species
AUUGAACGCUGGCGGCAGGCCUAACACAUGCAAGUCGAACGGUAACAGGAAGAAGCUUGCUUCUUUGCUGACGAGUGGCGGACGGGUGAGUAAUGUCUGGGAAACUGCCUGAUGGAGGGGGAUAACUACUGGAAACGGUAGCUAAUACCGCAUAACGUCGCAAGACCAAAGAGGGGGACCUUCGGGCCUCUUGCCAUCGGAUGUGCCCAGAUGGGAUUAGCUAGUAGGUGGGGUAACGGCUCACCUAGGCGACGAUCCCUAGCUGGUCUGAGAGGAUGACCAGCCACACUGGAACUGAGACACGGUCCAGACUCCUACGGGAGGCAGCAGUGGGGAAUAUUGCACAAUGGGCGCAAGCCUGAUGCAGCCAUGCCGCGUGUAUGAAGAAGGCCUUCGGGUUGUAAAGUACUUCCAGCGGGGAGGAAGGGAGUAAAGUUAAUACCUUUGCUCAUUGACGUUACCCGCAGAAGAAGCACCGGCUAACUCCGUG